UGGCUAUGAUGAGAAAUUCUGUCAUGCACCACUCUGAUUAACUCGUGGUUAUGAUGACAAUAGAGUCUACCCAUUUUCUCUGAGCUG